CCUACGGGAGACAGCAGUGGGGAAUAUUGGACAAUGGGGGCAACCCUGAUCCAGCCAUGCCGCGUGUGUGAAGAAGGCCCUCGGGUUGUAAAGCACUUUCAGUGAGGAAGAACGCCUGGUGGUUAAUACCCAUCAGGAAAGACAUCACUCACAGAAGAAGCACCGGCUAACUCCGUGCCAGCAGCCGCGGUAAUACGGAGGGUGCGAGCGUUAAUCGGAAUUACUGGGCGUAAAGCGCGCGUAGGUGGCUUGAUAAGCCGGUUGUGAAAGCCCCGGGCUCAACCUGGGAACGGCAUCCGGAACUGUCAAGCUAGAGUGCAGGAGAGGAAGGUAGAAUUCCCGGUGUAGCGGUGAAAUGCGUAGAGAUCGGGAGGAAUACCAGUGGCGAAGGCGGCCUUCUGGACUGACACUGACACUGAGGUGCGAAAGCGUGGGUAGCAAACAGGAUUAGAUACCCUGGUAGUC
rnacentral:rRNA from 1 species